UACAGAGGUCUCAAGCGUUGUUCGGAUUCAUUGGGCGUAAAGGGUGUGUAGGUGGCGCCGUAAGUCGGGUGUGAAAUUUCGGAGCUUAACUCCGAAACUGCAUUCGAUACUGCGGUGCUUGAGGACUGGAGAGGAGACUGGAAUUCAUGGUGUAGCAGUGAAAUGCGUAGAGAUCAUGAGGAAGACCAGUGGCGAAGGCGGGUCUCUGGACAGUUCCUGACACUGGGACACGAAGGCCAGGGGAGCAAACGGG
rnacentral:rRNA from 1 species